rnacentral:tRNA from 1 species
GCAAAUGUAUUUCAGUGGUAAAGUACCCCUGGGAUCAAUCCCUAGUGCAAAAAAAAAAAAAAAACAAAAAAACCCCAAAAACCCCAAUACAAUAUAUAUAGUUACUCCAAAGAGUUAAAAUACAGAAAAUAGGGCCUUACUAGUGUGAGGGCCUGGGUUCCAUUCCCAGCACUGCA